rnacentral:rRNA from 1 species
CCUACGGGGGGCAGCAGUGAGGAAUAUUGGUCAAUGGGCGAGAGCCUGAACCAGCCAAGUCGCGUGAGGGAAGACGGUUCUAUGGAUUGUAAACCUCUUUUGUCGGGGAGCAAAAAGCGGUACGUGUACCGCAUCGAGAGUACCCGGAGAAAAAGCAUCGGCUAACUCCGUGCCAGCAGCCGCGGUAAUACGGAGGAUGCGAGCGUUAUCCGGAUUUAUUGGGUUUAAAGGGUGCGGAGGCGGCGGAUUAAGUCAGCGGUUAAAGUUCGGGGCGCAACCCCCGAAAUGCCGUUGAGACUGGCUUGCUAGAGUGUGCGAGAGGUAUGCGGAAUGCGUGGUGUAGCGGUGAAAUGCAUAGAUAUCACGCAGAACUCCGAUUGCGAAGGCAGCAUACCGGGGCCCAACUGACGCUCAGGCACGAAAGCGUGGGUAUCGAACAGGAUUAGAUACCCCAGUAGUC